GACGAACGCUGGCGGCGUGCUUAACACAUGCAAGUCGAACGGAAAGGCCCUUCGGGGUACUCGAGUGGCGAACGGGUGAGUAACACGUGGGUGAUCUGCCCUGCACUUUGGGAUAAGCCUGGGAAACUGGGUCUAAUACCGAAUAGGACCACGCGCUUCAUGGUGUGUGGUGGAAAGCUUUUGCGGUGUGGGAUGGGCCCGCGGCCUAUCAGCUUGUUGGUGGGGUAAUGGCCUACCAAGGCGACGACGGGUAGCCGGCCUGAGAGGGUGACCGGCCACACUGGGACUGAGAUACGGCCCAGCCUCCUACGGGAGGCAGCAGUGGGGAAUAUUGCACAAUGGGCGCAAGCCUGAUGCAGCGACGCCGCGUGAGGGAUGACGGCCUUCGGGUUGUAAACCUCUUUCAAUAGGGACGAAGCGCAAGUGACGGUACCUAUAGAAGAAGCACCGGCCAACUACGUG
rnacentral:rRNA from 1 species